AUACUUACCUGAGUCGGAGGUGCCGGUGAUCAAGAAGGCCGGUUCUCCAUGGAUGGGUUUGGCCAUUGCACACACGUUGCUGGGCCCGUCUGUGCACAACUCCCUCGGGGGUUCGUGGGACUAUAAUUUUUCUAUCGGGAGUACUGCUUUCGAGCGGUCUCCUG
rfam:Rhizoclosmatium globosum strain JEL800 BCR33scaffold_2, whole genome shotgun sequence.